rnacentral:lncRNA from 1 species
UUUUUUAAUAUGGAAACUGGAAAAGGAUGAAGAGUUGAAGCAGGAUGCAUAGAGGGGGCUAUGGUAGGGCUGGUGAGACCUUGGAUCUGAGCAGAUGAAAGUAUGAAGAGGACAUGAGCAUGAAGGAGGUGCUGGGUGAGCGAGGAACCUGUUUUUGCUUGUGUUAGACUUCAGAGAGGCACUAUUCCAUGCAUAAAAUAUGUCUAUGGAAAUGGUGUGAAAGAUCGGUUCAUCUCUGUGAUAAUGAAAUGUUUUAUAAUCACUUUGAAUGCACCAAGGGUGCUCUGAAUGCCCUGUGAGGCAUGGGAGCAGGAGCAGAGUGAAGAACCUUCCCUGUUGGCUGCCUAUGGUAACUGCUGUGCCUGCUGUUUGCCUCUCUUUGUAGGUGAGCACUCUUGGGGAGAGAGUGGUUCUGUAUGUUCUGAAUCGCAUUAUUUAUAGAAAACAGGAAAUGGAGAGAAAUGAGAUCCCAUUCCUGUGUCAUAGCAGUACUGAUUAUGCUAAAAUUCUGUGGAAGAAAGGAGAGGCCAUUGGGUUUUAUUCAGUUAAGCCUACAGUCUUCCCAACUUAGCUUUUCAGAUCAAAGCCAGUUUAAAGAUCAUACCAAAUUUACUACAGAUUUGAAGAACAGUUGGGACUGAUACCUUAAUUCCAUAGUUCGCACACAUUUGUGAAGAGACUUAGUACACAUAGUCAGUAAA